AUUGAACGCUGGCGGCAGGCCUAACACAUGCAAGUCGAACGGUAACAGGAAGACGCUUGCUUCUUUGCUGACGAGUGGCGGACGGGUGAGUAAUGUCUGGGAAACUGCCUGCUGGAGGGGGAUAACUACUGGAAACGGUAGCUAAUACCGCAUAACGUCGCAAGACCAAAGAGGGGGACCUUCGGGCCUCUGGCCAUCGGAUGUGCCCAGAUGGGAUUAGCUAGUAGGUGGGGUAACGGCUCACCUAGGCGACGAUCCCUAGCUGGUCUGAGAGGAUGACCAGCCACACUGGAACUGAGACACAGUCCAGACACCUACGGGAGGAAGCAGUGGGGAAUAUUGCGCAAGGGGCGCAAGGCUGAUGCAGCCAUGCCGCGUGUAUGAAGAAGGCCUUCGGGUUGUAAAGUACUUUCAGCGGGGAGGAAGGGAGUAAAGUUAAUACCUUUGCUCAUUGACGUUACCCGCAGAAGAAGCACCGGCUAACUCCGUG
rnacentral:rRNA from 1 species